UUAUUGGGGCGUAAGCGCGCGCAGGUGGUUUCUUAAGUCUGAUGUGAAAGCCCACGGCUCAACCGUGGAGGGUCAUUGGAAACUGGGAAACUUGAGUGCAGAAGAGGAAAGCGGAAUUCCACGUGUAGCGGUGAAAUGCGUAGAGAUGUGGAGGAACACCAGUGGCGAAGGCGACUUUCUGGUCUGUAACUGACACUGAGGCGCGAAAGCGUGGGGAGCAAACAGGAUUAGAUACCCUGGUAGUCCACGCCGUAAACGAUGAGUGCUAAGUGUUAGAGGGUUUCCGCCCUUUAGUGCUGAAGCUAACGCAUUACGCACUCCGCCUGGGGAGUACGGCCGCAAGGCUGAAACUCAAAGGAAUUGACGGGGGCCCGCACAAGCGGUGGAGCAUGUGGCUUAAUUCCAAGCAACGCCAAGAACCUU
rnacentral:rRNA from 1 species